ACUCAAAUGAAUAGACGGGGGCCCGCACAAGCGGUGGAGCAUGUGGUUUAAUUCGAUGCUACGCGAAGAACCUUACCCAGACUUGACAUCCCGGGCUAUCCUAGGAAACUAGGAGUUCCCUCACGGGACCCGGUGACAGGUGCUGCAUGGCUGUCGUCAGCUCGUGUUGUGAGAUGUUGGGUUAAGUCCCGCAACGAGCGCAACCCUUGUCGCUAGUUACCAUCAUUAAGUUGGGCACUCUAGCGAGACCGCUAGGCUAUAAGCCAGAGGAAGGUGGGGACGACGUCAAGUCCGCAUGGCCUUUAUGUCUGGGGCUACACACGUGCUACAAUGGGGAGAACAAAGCGCAGCAAGCUCGCAAGAGCAAGCAAAUCGCAAAAAACUCCUCUAAGUUCGGAUUGGAGUCUGCAACUCGACUCUAUGAAGCUGGAAUCGCUAGUAAUCGCGGAUCAGCACGCCGCGGUGAAUACGUUCCCGGGCCUUGUACACACCGCCCGU
rnacentral:rRNA from 1 species